GCGGAGGUAACGAAGCGGUCAAACGUGCCGGAUUCAGGAUCCGGUGGCUUAGGCCUUCGCAGGUUCGAAUCCUGCCCUCCGCA
rnacentral:tRNA from 1 species